rnacentral:rRNA from 1 species
UAUUGGUCAAUGGGCGGGAGCCUGAACCAGCCAAGUCGCGUGAGGGAUUAAGGCCCUACGGGUCGUAAACCUCUUUUGCCGGGGAGAAGGGCGGCGGUCGUGUCCGCCGUUUGAGAGUACUCGGAGAAAAAGCAUCGGCUAACUCCGCGCCCGCAGCCGCGGUAAUACGGAGGAUGCGAGCGUUAUCCGGAUUUAUUGGGUUUAAAGGGUGCGUAGGAGGUCUUUUAAGUCAGCAGUAAAAAUUCGGGGCUCAACCCCGUCCGGCCGUUGAAACUGGGGGCCUUGAGUGGGCGAGAAGAAGGCGGAAUGCGUGGUGUAGCGGUGAAAUGCAUAGAUAUCACGCAGAACCCCGAUUGCGAAGGCAGCCUUCCGGCGCCCUACUGACGCUGAGGCACGAAAGUGCGGGGAUCGAACAGG